rnacentral:rRNA from 1 species
AUGCGAAAGGUGCAAGCGUUGUUCGGAUUUACUGGGCGUAAAGAGAGUGUAGGUUGUUUAUUAAGUCGGAUGUGAAAUCCCGGGGCUCAACCUCGGAACUGCAUUCGAUACUGAUAGGCUAGAGUUUGGGAGGGGUAAGCGGAAUUCCGUGUGUAGCAGUGAAAUGCGUAGAUAUACGGAGGAACACCUGAGGCGAAGGCGGCUUACUGGACCAAUUCUGACACUGAGACUCGAAAGCGUGGGUAGCAAACAGGAUUAGAAACCCGUGUAGUCC